GGGAUUAUGGCAUUAUUCAUUCAUUCACAUAUUCACUCAUUCAUUCAUAUACUGAGGAUUGUUGCUGGAUAGAAUACAAUAAUGAUUCAGAAGCAAAUCCUGCUUUUGGGAAGCUCAUAGGCUGGCAAGAAAAACAAGACAUAGCCACGGAGAACUAUAAUGUUUGGCAGUUUUGUAAGAGAGAUGCAGACAGAACCUAAUGUGUGGACAGAGGAUGGAGAGAUCGCCAUGGCUGACAAAUCAUGGAAGACUGCCUUGCAGCAGACUUUGUAUAAGUGCAUCUCCUGGCUGUCCACCGGUAUGUGGAGCUUGAUCAUUUCCUGGGCUGCCUUUCAGGAAGGCCCAGGUGGAAUUAAAUGCAGAGUGCCUCUGCUUCUGUUGGAUUUCCCCCAAACUGACCACAGAUCAAGGAGAUAAGAUGAUGCCUUGAGUUAAGUCAGGUUCCAAAACAACAACACUGACUGCAGAGAACUGCAAAGGUAGCAGGAAACCACCCUCCUCUCUGGCAAGGAGUGUUAGUUUUUGUCUUUCCCUUCUCGGCUAAGCCGUGGUACCCGGAGCAGUGGAUACAGAAACCCGGGAGAAAAUCUUCUGGAUACCCAGGAACCUGCUGGGUCCCUGAAGAAUGUCAGUGAGAAACUCAGCGUUCCUGUGCCCUGGGCUGACCCCCUGUUUAGGGAAGGCAGCCCAGAGGGCUCCUAAUGCACUCAGAACUGUAUCAUCGCACCUGCAGCCUGGAGGAGAUGACCUUCCAUCAAGACGCCUGCUAUUAAAACUUUGUUUAAGGAAAAUAAAAAGAUAUCCUCAUUCUAAACAUGGGACACAGUGAUAGGUGUGUUCUGUACUUGACAAUCAAGGGUUCCAGUUUGCUGAGGGGAAGCCUGGCACAGUGGCAAGAGGUGGAGCUUUGGAAGCAGAGUGGGGCUGAAUCACAACUCACCCAGUCACCAGCUGUGCAGCGUUGGCCAAACCACUUAGCUUUUUACAUUUCUUUAUUAUUAAAUAGGAAUAAAAAUAAUGGACUAGAGAGAAUAAGUACCUGACCCUUAGUAUAUACAUAAUAAUGUAGAAUAAUUUCUUCUAGUCUUAAAUGUUCAACAUCAUGGGCAUUGCUUUCUCAGGGAGGUAGCUUUCCUCCUCACAAAUUUACCAAUUGAAGGAAUGAAUCUUUAGAGAAAAAAUGCUGAAACUACAGCAAGCUAUUCCUGUCCUUCAGCUAGCUCUUAUGUCCAGUGUCUUAUAAUUAUUCAUCUUUACAACUUUCUUUUCCACCAGACUGGGAGCUCCUUGAAGACAGUGACCACUAUGUCUUCAAUUCUCAGCACAUAGUUCUUUCUACCUCAGCUACCUUAUUUUGAGAUCUGUACAAACUACAGAGUCUGUAGUUCUUCUGGGAUUUUUAUGCUCCCAGCCUGGUUUGAAGAGUGACUUUAAGCAACACCUUUAGGAGCACAUCCAAUCUUCUGAAAACCAUCU
rnacentral:lncRNA from 1 species